rnacentral:rRNA from 1 species
GACAGAGGUCCCGAGCGUUAGGCGGAAUCACUGGGCUUAAAGCGUGUGUAGGCGGAUUUGUAAGUACCUUGUGAAAUCCCACGGCUUAACCGUGGAACUGCUUGGUAUACUGCUUAUCUUGAGCCACUUAGGGGCAACCGGAACAAACGGUGGAGCGGCGAAAUGCGUAGAUAUCGUUUGGAACGCCAAUGGUGAAAACAGGUUGCUGGGAGUGUGCUGACGCUGAGACACGAAAGCCAGGGGAGCGAACGGG